AGUGAACGCUGGCGGUAGGCCUAACACAUGCAAGUCGAACGAGUGGCGGACGGGUGAGGAAUACAUGGGAAUCUACUCUGUCGUGGGGGAUAACGUAGGGAAACUUACGCUAAUACCGCCUUCGCGUGAAGGAGCCGGUGUAGGUUUAGCUAGUUGGCGGGGUAAAGGCCCACCAAGACGACGAUCCGUAGCUGGUCUGAGAGGAUGAUCAGCAACCGUGGAACUGAGAUACGGUCCAGACUCCUACGGGAGGCAGCAGUGGGGAAUAUUGGACAAUGGGCGCAAGCCUGAUCCAGCCAUACCGCGUGGGUGAAGAAGGCCUUCGGGUUGUAAAGUCCUUUUGUUGGGAAAGCGGUACCCAAAGAAUAAGCACCGGCUAACUUCGUGCCAGCAGCCGCGGUAAUUC
rnacentral:rRNA from 1 species